CAGGUCUUCUGUCCUGCCUUUCUUUGCAGCUGAACCUGCGGGUGAAGGUGGUGCAGCUUCCCAAGCCACGUCCAGGACUGAGGCUGUGGGAGAUGCUGAGGAUGUGUCUGUGGGGAGGACUUCUCCAGCUGCUUUGCUGAUUCCUACACAGAAGCCUGGCAACCAUCGCAGAGUCCUCCACCAGAAGAGAUCAAAGACAUGGCAGACAAGAAAUUCCAGAAUCCAUUAGAAAUUAUGUGGCAAAUGCUGAAGCAAGUGCUGCAGGGAGGACAAGAAAUGAAAGUAGAGCCUGUGCAGAUGGAAGCACUCCUCAGAGGAAGCAGUGGUUGCAUGCCAGCCUCUGCUGCAGGAAGGGAGGCCAUGCCAGGCACAGGCACAGGAG